GUGCUCACAUCAGCAGCACAUAUACUAAAAUUGGAAUGACAUAGAGAUUAGCACGGCCCCAAAACAAGGAUGACAUGCAUAUAUGUGAAGUGUUCAUAUUUUUA
ensembl:snRNA U6 U6 spliceosomal RNA